rnacentral:rRNA from 1 species
AGGGCGCGCAGGCGGUUUCUUAAGUCUGAAGGUGAAAGCCCCCGGCUUCACCGGGGAGGGUCAUUGGAAACUGGGAAACUUGAGUGCAGAAGAGGAGAGUGGAAUUCCACGUGUAGCGGUGAAAUGCGUAGAGAUGUGGAGGAACACCAGUGGCGAAGGCGACUCUCUGGUCUGUAACUGACGCUGAGGAGCGAAAGCGUGGGGAGCGAACAGGAUUAGAUACCCUGGUAGUCCACGCCGUAAACGAUGAGUGCUAAGUGUUAGGGGGUUUCCGCCCCUUAGUGCUGCAGCUAACGCAUUAAGCACUCCGCCUGGGGAGUACGGUCGCAAGACUGAAACUCAAAGGAAUUGACGGGGGCCCGCACAAGCGGUGGAGCAUGUGGUUUAAUUCGAAGCAACGCGAAGAACCUUACCAGGUCUUGACAUCCUCUGACAACCCUAGAGAUAGGGCUUUCCCUUCGGGGACAGAGUGACAGGUGGUGCAUGGUUGUCGUCAGCUCGUGUCGUGAGAUGUUGGGUUAAGUCCCGCAACGAGCGCAACCCUUGAUCUUAGUUGCCAGCAUUUAGUUGGGCACUCUAAGGUGACUGCCGGUGACAAACCGGAGGAAGGUGUGGAUGACAUCAAAUCAUCAUGCCCCUUAUGACCUGUGCUACACACGUGCUACAAUGGACAGAACACAGGGCUGCAAGACCGCAAGGUUUAGCCAAUCCCAUAUAUCUGUUCUCACUUCGGAUCGCAGUCUGCAACUCGACUGCGUGAAGCUGGAAUCGCUAG